rnacentral:rRNA from 1 species
GAUGAACGCUGGCGGCGUGCCUAAUACAUGCAAGUCGAGCGAACAGACGAGGAGCUUGCUCCUCUGACGUUAGCGGCGGACGGGUGAGUAACACGUGGAUAACCUACCUAUAAGACUGGGAUAACUUCGGGAAACCGGAGCUAAUACCGGAUAAUAUAUUGAACCGCAUGGUUCAAUAGUGAAAGACGGUUUUGCUGUCACUUAUUGAUGGAUCCGCGCCGCAUUAGCUAGUUGGUAAGGUAACGGCUUACCAAGGCAACGAUGCGUAGCCGAUCUGAGAGGGUGAUCGGCCACACUGGAACUGAGACACGGUCCAGACUCCUACGGGAGGCAGCAGUAGGGAAUCUUCCGCAAUGGGCGAAAGCUUGACGGAGCAACGCCGCGUGAGUGAUGAAGGUCUUCGGAUCGUAAAACUCUGUUAUUAGGGAAGAACACAUGUGUAAGUAACUAUGCACGUCUUGACGGUACCUAAUCAGAAAGCCACGGCUAACUACGUG